GGCAGUUCUCAGGUGAUGCACUCUGGAAUCGGGCUCCCUCCUCUCUGGUUCUGGGUGUGUCACCUGAUAACUGCA
rfam:Myotis lucifugus cont2.34128, whole genome shotgun sequence.